GUGGGGAAUCUUGCGCAAUGGGCGAAAGCCUGAUGCAGCCAUGCCGCGUGAAUGAUGAAGGUCUUAGGAUUGUAAAAUUCUUUCACCGGGGACGAUAAUGACGGUACCCGGAGAAGAAGCCCCGGCUAACUUCGUGCCAGCAGCCGCGGUAAUACGAAGGGGGCUAGCGUUGCUCGGAAUUACUGGGCGUAAAGGGCGCGUAGGCGGACAGUUUAGUCAGAGGUGAAAGCCCAGGGCUCAACCUUGGAAUUGCCUUUGAUACUGGCUGUCUUGAGUACGGGAGAGGUGAGUGGAACUCCGAGUGUAGAGGUGAAAUUCGUAGAUAUUCGGAAGAACACCAGUGGCGAAGGCGACUCACUGGCCCGUUACUGACGCUGAGGCGCGAAAGCGUGGGGAGCAAACAGGAUUAGAAACCCUGGUAGUCC
rnacentral:rRNA from 1 species